GCGACACUAGCUCAGUUGGUAGAGCGCAACCUUGCCAAGGUUGAGGUCACGAGUUCGAACCUCGUGUGUCGCUCC
rnacentral:tRNA from 5 species